rnacentral:antisense_RNA from 1 species
UUAAAUCAUCCUGUGUAUCAACAAAUGUUUCAUAAAACUCACAUAAGUUCUCUAUACAU